rnacentral:rRNA from 1 species
UACGAAAGGGGCUAGCGUUGUUCGGAAUUACUGGGCGUAAAGCGCACGUAGGCGGAUUUGUUAGUCAGGGGUGAAAUCCCGGGGCUCAACCUCGGAACUGCCUUUGAUACUGCAAGUCUCGAGUCCGAGAGAGGUGAGUGGAAUUCCUAGUGUAGAGGUGAAAUUCGUAGAUAUUAGGAAGAACACCAGUGGCGAAGGCGGCUCACUGGCUCGGUACUGACGCUGAGGUGCGAAAGCGUGGGGAGCAUACAGG